GAUGAACGCUGGCGGCGUGCCUAAUACAUGCAAGUCGAGCGAACGGACGAGAAGCUUGCUUCUCUGAUGUUAGCGGCGGACGGGUGAGUAACACGUGGAUAACCUACCUAUAAGACUGGGAUAACUUCGGGAAACCGGAGCUAAUACCGGAUAAUAUUUUGAACCGCAUGGUUCAAAAGUGAAAGACGGUCUUGCUGUCACUUAUAGAUGGAUCCGCGCUGCAUUAGCUAGUUGGUAAGGUAACGGCUUACCAAGGCAACGAUGCAUAGCCGACCUGAGAGGGUGAUCGGCCACACUGGAACUGAGACACGGUCCAGACUCCUACGGGAGGCAGCAGUAGGGAAUCUUCCGCAAUGGGCGAAAGCCUGACGGAGCAACGCCGCGUGAGUGAUGAAGGUCUUCGGAUCGUAAAACUCUGUUAUUAGGGAAGAACAUAUGUGUAAGUAACUGUGCACAUCUUGACGGUACCUAAUCAGAAAGCCACGGCUAACUACGUGCCAGCAGCCGCGGUAAUACGUAGGUGGCAAGCGUUAUCCGGAAUUAUUGGGCGUAAAGCGCGCGUAGGCGGUUUUUUAAGUCUGAUGUGAAAGCCCACGGCUCUUUCGUGGAGGGUCAUUGGAAACUGGAAAACUUGAGUGCAGAAGAGGAAAGUGGAAUUCCAUGUGUAGCGGUGAAAUGCGCAGAGAUAUGGAGGAACACCAGUGGCGAAGGCGACUUUCUGGUCUGUAACUGACGCUGAUGUGCGAAAGCGUGGGGAUCAAACAGGAUUAGAUACCCUGGUAGUCCACGCCGUAAACGAUGAGUGCUAAGUGUUAGGGGGUUUCCGCCCCUUAGUGCUGCAGCUAACGCAUUAAGCACUCCGCCUGGGGAGUACGACCGCAAGGUUGAAACUCAAAGGAAUUGACGGGGACCCGCACAAGCGGUGGAGCAUGUGGUUUAAUUCGAAGCAACACGAAGAACCUUACCAAAUCUUGACAUCCUUUGACAACUCUAGAGAUAGAGCUUUCCCCUUCGGGGGACAAAGUGACAGGUGGUGCAUGGUUGUCGUCAGCUCGUGUCGUGAGAUGUUGGGUUAAGUCCCGCAACGAGCGCAACCCUUAAGCUUAGUUGCCAUCAUUAAGUUGGGCACUCUAAGUUGACUGCCGGUGACAAACCGGAGGAAGGUGGGGAUGGCGUCAAAUCAUCAUGCCCCUUAUGAUUUGGGCUACACACGUGCUACAAUGGACAAUACAAAGGGCAGCGAAACCGUGAGGUCAAGCAAAUCCCAUAAAGUUGUUCUCAGUUCGGAUUGUAGUCUGCAACUCGACUACAUGAAGUUGGAAUCGCUAGUAAUCGUAGAUCAGCAUGCUACGGUGAAUACGUUCCCGGGUCU
rnacentral:rRNA from 1 species